GGUCGAAGAGAGAAAUUCAUUCGCGUUUCGACGUAGGCGUCGAACUGAGUUGCGUGACAAAACUCGUCGUUUAUCCGGACGUUCGUUUUUUGCACCCUUUGUUCUUCGAACCGACGACGAACGCGUGCACUUUUCUCUUGGUAGGACGUCGCGAUUCGUUGUGUGUCGAUCUACGACUUGCGGUGGAGCCCGUACGUCGUCUAGUAUGUUACGUGCGGACCCGUUCGUUCCGAUCGACUCGCUCGACGAUAUACAAAAGGUCGGAGGCCGCUCGUUCAGAAGCGUUCGACUCGUCGCAAGCGCGCCACGUGCGUCGACACGCGGACCCAGUGCCGCGUUCGACCUCUGGUGACUGUUGGCAACGAUGUUCUCGAACAGACCUCUUUUUUUUUCGUUUGUCGCGAAAAAUUGACCGAUCAGCGACGCUAUAGCUUUUGGUACUUUCAGGACCCGUCUUGAAACACGGACCAAGGAGUCUAGCAUGUACGCAAGUCAUUGGGAAUCACUAAACCUAAAGGCGUAAUGAAAGUAAAGAUCUUUCUUGCGAAGAUCGAGGGAAGACGAACGUGCGAGUUCGUAAAAAAACCGUCGUUCUGCAUUCCCGGGGCGUCUCGUUCACAUCGCGUGAAGAGGCGCACCAAGAGCGUACACGCUGGGACCCGAAAGAUGGUGAACUAUGCCUGGUCAGGACGAAGUCAGGGGAAACCCUGAUGGAGGUCCGUA
rnacentral:rRNA from 1 species